GCCUUCAUAUCUGACUUCUAGCUUAUAGCACACAGGAAACGGAGGAGCACGUUAAGUGACACCACAGGAAGCAAGACGAAUCCAGAAGGGAAUAUUCUGCAAGACUUUUUAAAGCAUCAAGAGAAAAAAGAAAUAAACCAAAAGAGGGAGGGGGACUCCUAGAAGAUACUCAAGAGCCAUCACAACCAAAAUCAGGCUCCUAAGCAGUCGCUUCCCUUCCAUUCUGCCAGUCCAUCGAGGAAUGUCAAGGAGAAAACACCGGAAGGUCUGAGUAUGUGAUGAGUCCCUGGCUGGGAAGACAAGCUCUUCCCAGGUGGAAACUGCCAACUCACGUCCUGGAAGAGGCUGACUGGGGCAGUGAUGGCCUUCUGCUCCUCCAGAUGGACACAAUACCUUUAUUUGAUUUAUUUAUUUUUAUGUGGUGCUGAGGAUUGAACCCGGUACCUCACACAUGCUAGACGAGUGAUUUACCACUGAGCUACAACUCCAACUCCUGUUGUGUCUCUUUCUUAAAUAAAACUUGCUUUCUAUGCUU